CUCAGCAACACGCUGCUUGAACCUGUGGUACUGGUCUAACACCUCCUGUCUUCUGUGCUGGAUUUCUUCCGCGGUUUCCAAAACCUUUGGUCCACUGCUUUCCACAGCCUGAAGUACACACAACAACUUUGUCAAGACCCAGCUUCAGGCAGUGGUUCCUGAGCCAUGUGAUACAACAUAUUUUCCAAAUUGCUGCCUUUGUAUUUCCUAUCAACUUUUAUUUGAAUAUAUAAAAACUAAAUAAAACCCAAGAAGAAAAUAUGAAGGGGCUUUGUAAAACUUCUAAGUAAUGACUUCUUGAGUCUGAAAAAAACCUGCAGGAACCACAAAAGACAAGUGGUAAUCAAGUUGAAAAGCCUCUGCACAGUCAAGAAAACAAUAAACAAAAUCCAAAGGAAACAUAUACAAGAGAAAGAAAUAAAUUAAAAUAUAUUUUUUUAUUUUUUAUGUCAAAAAAUAUAUUUGACAAAGCCAUAAAGUCAUACCAAUAUGACUGCCUAUACACAAGAUAGACAAGAAUGAUACCGGUAGUCACACCAAAGUGGAUGGGGAACUGACAAAGCCUCAGCCUAACAAAGAAUUACACACAACUAAGGAAUGUUGAGAGUGGGAAAAACAGUCCUCCCAGAAAAUGCACACAGUGCCAAGCCUCAGCUGCUCUCCAUGGCCCUUUCAUGACUUCAAAACUAGGACUACCUGGUGACUCUUAAACAUUAUCAAGUCCGACAACCUUGGCCACCGCUGGAACACAGCUUCUCUCUACUCUCAAAACACUUCCCAGAUUUCUCCUAAGUGACGCUGGUCUCUUCUUAACCACUGCUAAUAUGGGAGAUUAUUGGAAUGAUUUCCAGAAUACAGUCCAAUGAUGACUAGCCCUGAAGCGAAAGUCCAGAAAUCCAAUAGAUGAUCAGUUCCUCGAAGCUGGAUGUCUCAGCCGGUCUUCUUUAGAUGCUGGAAUCCAGAAAAGUAGGCUCCAGUGUCAGUGAAGGAAUGGAUUACUGGCAAGGUGAAGUCAAACAGGCAGAGACUGAAAAAAAUGCUUCCUUCUUCCAUUGCCCUCAUAUAGGCUUCCAGUGAAAGGUGUGACCCAGAUUAAAGGUGUACCUUCUAGCCUCAAGAUCCAGAUUAAAGGUCUCAAGUUCUGGACCACAAGUGUGCCCCUAUUUCUGGAUUGUAGUUCAUUCCAGAUAAAGUCAAGCUGAUGCCUAAGCAUAGCCAUCACAUAACCCAAGAGUUGAGGGUUGUCAUGUAGAAUUUGAAAUCUCUUUCACUGGCCAUUACCAGCUGCUAAUGAACUAUGGGUCACUGUUCAGUGAGUGCAGACCACUUCUAGUCAAGAACCAUUAUAGGAAGUCUCUGACUUGAAUAGCAGGUAUUGUAAAUUUCUGAACUCUAGCUAUUGGAGCCGCAAGCUUCAAGUUCUUAAGAUUGCAAGCUAUAAGCUUGUGGAGCUCAUAGUCAAGAUCAUGGGUCUCUGGAUUAUCCUCUGAAAACCAUGCCUUGGCUAUUUGUGAUUUGCAUCAUGAUAGAGCAAAUAGAACCCCAGUCAACUAAUCUCCCAGGUAAUAUAGUACCUCUCUAUUUUCACAAAGCAACAGUAUUAGAAAAUACUCCCUGGGUGGUUAAAGCAAAGCUUUUGGAGAAGGUUACCUCUGGAUUUGAAUUAUAGCUUAGCCUUUUGUAAAAAGUCACUUUACUGCUAUAAACCAAUUUUCUCUUUUAUAAUAGGAAUGAGAAAAAUGAAUAUUAUAAAUUACUCUUUAAAACACUGUAUUGGACACAAUUAAUAGAGUGCUUAAAAUCUAAAUGUGCAAUAAGUAGAAAAUUGCAUUUUUAGUUUCAAAAAUACAAAUACAAGUACGAAUUCAUAUUUUUAUUUAAUUUUUGCAAUAAUAUUGGGUUAAUAAAUGUAGUGAAAUUUUUGUUAAACAAAUAUGUCAAUAACUUGAAGUCAACAGAGAAUGUAUUAUUAGCUCCCAUUAUAUCCAUUCAGAAAGCAUGUUUCUUGAAUUCUGUAUACUCAUGAAGAUUAUAUUUACAAUGUAAUGUAUCAUUAAUGUCACCACACAACAAGUUUUAACUCCUACAUUCUCUCUAUUUUUUUCCAUGAGCUUGGAAUAGUUUGUGCUAAACACAUGUACACACACACACACACACACACACACACACAAAUGCGUGUGCGCACACACACAAAUAUACACAAGCAAGUUAAUGAAAGGGCUAUAAU